rnacentral:rRNA from 1 species
GAUGAACGCUAGCGGCAGGCUUAACACAUGCAAGUCGAGGGGCAGCACUGGUAGCAAUACCUGGUGGCGACCGGCGCAAGGGUGCGUAACGCGUGAGCAACAUGCCCGUAUCAGGGGAAUAAUCCAGGGAAACUUGGUCUAAUACCCCAUAGUAAAUAUUAAAGGCAUCUUUAAUAUUUUAAAGCUUUGGUGGAUACGGAUUGGCUCGCGUGACAUUAGCUAGAUGGUAAGGUAACGGCUUACCAUGGCUACGAUGUCUAGGGGUUCUGAGAGGAAGAUCCCCCACACUGGAACUGAGACACGGUCCAGACUCCUACGGGAGGCAGCAGUGAGGAAUAUUGGACAAUGGAUGGAAAUCUGAUCCAGCCAUGCCGCGUGCAGGAAGACGGCCCUAUGGG